AAUUCAAGAAAGCAGAGCAGAUACGCUAGCUACAGCAUUGUUAUGGUCAGGUAUGGCCACUAUCUUCCAUUCAGAAUGAUGUAAAGAAGCCAUGUAAUCAGGUGGCUGAAACAAUAGCAGUAGUACCCCAAACCAUAGGCCUAUAGAAAACUGAGUAGAAGCUGAAACAUGUGGCAAGGGAUUUCAAAUGCAGACAUUAAGGCUUUGAUUGAUGGAACUGCAUGCACACUGAAACACCCAGGAAAAGGAAAGGAAAGAGAGAGAUAAGCAGAUGGAAAGUCAGACACACACAGCCUGAACAAGCUGGCUGAAAGAGUUUGGUGCUGAAAGCAAGGAAGCUUUCUCCUGGUUUUGGUUCAUCCUGUGAUCAGAGAAGCAGGACUUUGAACAUUCCUUAUAAAUAAACAAGACUGCAUCAAAGAAAUUACCAGAGUCCAUCAUCGAUUUCUACUCCCAGCUAGAACAACCCUCAAGUCCACAAACACUGGCUAACCAUUCGAGUUUAAAAGGAGGCAUCCAGCUUAGCCAGCCCAGGACAAGCCAUCUCUUAUAACACUGAGGUGUUCACAAAGGAAAGCUAAUACUGCUCCUUUGGAAUGUCAGAAGUCUGCAGCCAGGGAAAGUGCUUCAUGGCCAUUGCAGUGGCUAUGGAAUGUGAGGCCAUAUCAAUGGUGUCUAUUGCUGCCUGAAGAGAAGUUUGAGCUGUAAGGUGUCCUUCAGAAACCAAAGCCAAAAACUGAUCUUUAUUGGACAUCUGACAAUUUGGCAUCAAAUUUUGAAAUU